rnacentral:rRNA from 1 species
GUACACGCUGUGACUAGCAUAUCAAUAAGCGGAGGAAAAGAAACUAACAAGGAUUCCCCUAGUAACGGCGAGUGAAGCGGGAAGAGCUCAAAUUUGAAAUCUUAAAGGGUUUCCCUUUACGAAUUGUAGUUUAAAGAAGUGUUUUCUGUUGAGGUUUUGGUAAAAGUUCUUUGGAAUAGGACAUUAUAGAGGGUGAGAAUCCCGUAUUUGACCUUUACUUUCAACUUUGUGAUACACUUUCAAAGAGUCGGAUUGUUUGGGAAUGCAGUCCAAAAUGGGUGGUAAAUUUCAUCUAAAGCUAAAUAUUGGCGAGAGACCGAUAGCGAACAAGUACCGUGAGGGAAAGAUGAAAAGAACUUUGAAAAGAGAGUUAAACAGUACGUGAAAUUGUCAAAAGGGAAGCGUUUGACACCAGUGUUGUUUUUCUGAAAAUCAAUUAAAGAACUGUUUAUGCUAAGCUGUUUAGACUUUAUCAGCUAACUGUUUAGUUUUGAGCUUUUCUUUAAUGCACUUUUCAGUUAACAAGUCAACAUCAAUUUCUUUUGCUGUAAAAAAGCUUGAGGAAGGUGGCUUGAGAUUCGUCUUAAGUGGUUAUAGCCUCUUGCCUAUGCAGUCGGAGAGAUUGAGGUCUGCAGCGUAGAUCCUUCGGGGCUAAAUGCAUUUGUGCUAAGUUAUAGCAUUUUAUAGACAACUUGUUGACUAUGAUUUGUCUUGUAGCUUACUCGCUUAUGUUAUUUUACCUACGCUUAGGAUGUUGACGCGCGUGUGUGCGUG